GCCAGCCAAAACAAGGAUGUCUGUGGACCCUGAGUGGGGUACACAGCCUAACCCCAGAACCAUGGAGAGCCAUGGUCACCUUGUCCGUCUCUAGUACCCUUUACACUCCUGCUUUUCUCAGAAACAGACACUGAGUGAGUACAGAAAUGCCAAAAUGUAAAGCAAAUGAAGCCAUGGUACAGAUGCAGAAAAGGUUAUACCAACAUCCAGGUCUGACGGGUUCGUCCUAGCCUGGCCUCUCUGGUCCUUCACUGAUGUUGUAUAGCCCAGACUGGGACCAAUUUAAUUCUGUGCACUUAAUGUCCAGUGCAGACCUGACAACCAGCCAGAAUUAUUAAUACAUUGAUUAAAAUUCAUAUAAUGAACA
rnacentral:lncRNA from 1 species